rnacentral:rRNA from 1 species
AUGACUAGAGAUAAUUUGCAGAAAAGAAUGAUGAACAAACCAUUGGGAUGUGUUUUCUGUGCUGAAAAUGAAAGUGUACCGCACCUUUUCUUUGAUUGUUUGGUGGCCAAGCUGGUUUGGAAAGAAGUUAGACAUUUAUUCCCCAGACCAGUGGGCACUAGUGUAGAAUCUAUUUCUUCCUGUUGGGUUGCUGGAAAGAAACUUGACUCAUUUAAUACCAUUGUAGCUGCCACCCUCUGGGCUCUGUGGAAGCACAGGACUGGCAUGGUGAUUAAUGGCGUCGUUUGGCUGUCAUUGAAACAGAUUAGGUCGAAGACUUUAAGAACAAUCAGAAGAUGGCGCCUGAUCUUCAAGGAACACACGAUGGAACAAACAGACCUGUUCUGCCAGCAUCUUCAGAGCCUGGUGGGGAGAACGAAGGAAAUGGAGUGGGGGUGA